rnacentral:rRNA from 1 species
AUGGUUAAUGUCGACCUCAUCCCGAAACACCUGAACUCCGAAAUACAGGAGGAUAUGGAUUCUUUCUCAACUUUUCUGAAUCCGCAGCUAGUUCGAUUGCAGAAACAAUUCAUGCAAAGUUCUAAGGAGAAAUCUAAGGUCUCUGAUGAGGGAGGUAUUUCACAAGUAGUUAAUAAAGAAUUAUCACCGAAGGAAAUUCAUAAGCAGAUUCAGCGACUUCAGCAAGGUGAUACAUCAAAAUAUUCAGAGAUGCAUUUUCAACAGAAGCAAUUUCAGAAGAGUGUUGCUCCUUCCAUGGUUUCUCAGUCUGCAGACCAUGGUCCAAGCGGUGAUGCAAUGGUGUCAGCCGGAGUUAUUUUGCCUCCACCUACUGCAGUUAAUGAUGAUGUGCAAACUAAGCAGUGCAAUAACGCGGGAGGCAAUACAGUUCAAUUGCUCACAUCCUCAGCCCAGCAGUCUGCUUCUCUGCCUGUCCCGGCUCAGCUGGGAGAUGCAAAUCAGUCUGGCCCAUUAACUCAGUCUCUUUUAGAUCUCCCAUACACACCUCAUGUACAAGUGAACAUUCUUAAGCAAUGUGAUGGCCCAGAUUUGCGUCAGCAGGAUAUUCAACCUAGUCAGAUGCAUAAGGGACAGUCUACUUCUUUUGCUCAGUCCCCUUCUAUUAUCCCUUCGUCUUCAAUCCUAGAUGCCUUCCGCCAGAAUGCACCUGCAAAUCCUAUUUCUCUCGCAUAUUUGCCCAGUCUACCCGCUCACUCUACUGCUCACAUCAUUCAGACUUCUACUGCUACUGCAAUCUCAGCAGCUAUGGAGGACAAAAUUCUUAGUGAGAAAGAGUCUUUUAUUCCUCUUUCCCCCCAUAAGUCUCCUCCAUCAGAUUCCCAUCGCCUUCCGCCGGCCUCUCCUAGAUUCAGUCCCAAAAGGCCGUCGGAAUCGCUCUCUGGUUUGGCUCUCCCACCGCCAAAGCGGCUCGGGGUGCCUGGUGAUGGAGAAGGUGCUGAAGCGCAGAAGGGUUUCGCGGCUGAUGCGGGUCCGAUCGGAGUCGUGUCUCGUCCCAAGAGGCAGACUCAUGCUGGAUUGGGCAUUCUCGGAGCUCCGCCCGCCGAUGUUCUUGUCCACGGCCCAGCAGCUCAAGCUGGUACUUUGGGAGCCGCCACAGUUGCCCUUGCUACACCCAAACAUACAGCAGAUAAGGGAGCCAGCCGUCGAUUUGGACCUAGCAAGUGGGAUGUUCCUCCAUCUGGGAGGCCUACGGGUAUGCGUCCCCAUUUCAGUGGGAUUUCUCGCCAUCGUAUUAGUCAUUCCACUUGGCACCGUUCUGAUGGCACCUCUCAAAUGGGUUACAACGCUGCUAUGUGCGGAAGCAGCAGUAAGGUUAUGACAAGCAUGAAUCUCGGGACCACUAUUAGUCAGAGCGGAAUGGUUGAGCAACGGAGCAAUGAGGCAGCUGCUUGCUAUGACCCAUGGCCAAUUCGGACUCCUACAACAUCUAUUUCUGCAGAUUCAGACAAUUCCCGUCAAGGGGCUUUCUCUCCUCCUCAAGUGGAUCACUUCAACAACAGGGGUGACUUGUCUGGAACCGGAGCUCAAACCAUGAUGGAAGCUCAGGAUAACCUUAGUUCCUCUCGUCAUGGCGACAUAGUGGAUCUCAGGGGCAGUCAAACCGUGGAUGAAGUGGACUUUCGUGGUCAACAGAUUGCAGACUUGGCUCACUCCUCUUCUUGGGCAGCGCCGCAUGGCCCUAACGCGCCUCGGGCGCCAUGA